CACAAUGAGAAAGAUAAGAUGGGCUUGUGUU
rnacentral:piRNA from 1 species